rnacentral:rRNA from 1 species
CAGCAGCCGCGGGAAUACGAAGGGGGCGAGCGUUAUUCGGAAUCACUGGGCGUAAAGCGUGCGUAGGCGGUUCUAAAAGUUAGAAGUGAAGCCCAGGGCUUAACCCUGGAAUUGCUUUUAAAACUAUAGGACUAGAAUUCGGGAGAGGAUAGCGGAAUUGUCAGUGUAGCAGUGAAAUGCGUAGAUAUUGACAGGAACACCAGUGGCGUAAGCGGCUAUCUGGACCGACAUUGACGCUGAGGCACGAAAGCGUGGGGAUCAAACAGGAUUAGAUACCCCUGUAGUCCCUGUCUCUUAUACA